ensembl:lncRNA
CCCGGCACGGCGGCGGCUCCGGUACCGCUGUGACUUCGGAGCAGUUCAGCGGAGGAGGAAGCAGCGGGAGCAGGCAGGAAACACUGACGGUGCUGCUCCACCAGCCAAAAUCUGUGUGGCUGCCGUGCCCCCCAGCUGCCCCCACUGCUGGGGCCAGGCAGAUGGGAGCCCUGCACUGAGGCUGUUGCCAGACUACAGCUCUUGGCGUGCCCCAUACCCAAUAUACCGCUGCCACAGAGACCCCAAGGCUUCACCUUGGCUUUCCUUCAGCCUGAUUCCAGCGGGGUUGAGGACAGAGGGACGCUUUGGCUUUGUCACGAGGCUCCUUGCCAGCCCCAGCUCUGAACAUACCAGCCAGGUGCCAGCUCAUCCCUGAGUCCCGUUCCCUCUUUUUUACCCAAAAAUGGGAGCUGUGCCACUCCCCACCCUGCUGCGAGUGGGUGGCAUCUGGGUGGGGACAAUGGAGAUCAGGGUGCAGGAUAAAGCCGAGCCUAUUUUUAUCCCACAAAGUAAUUACCACAGCCUUCCAGUCCUUAAUCUGCUGAGAGCACCCUGGCACGAUUGGGUCCCUCCCUGAGCCUGGCAACAGUGCUCCUGUCACACGUCUCCUGCGUCAGAGCCCAGUAAACUCCCACCCGUGGCGCCUCCAGGAACGGGAACGGGGAUCUCAUUUGGGGGCUGGGAUUGAGGUCUCACCUCUCACCCCUGGGUGUCCCAGUCCCCGCACCGAGACUGGUGGGGCUCCAGCUGGGUGAAAGCACUAAAUCCAGACUAUUUUCCCUAUGGCUGCCCCAAAAGGUUUCUACCUGCAGUGCACAGCUUCCACCGGGGUCGCAGGUCCCUCUCCACCGAGCAGGGGCGGCUCCGGCUGCCGGUGCCAAGUCCCCACUGGCUCCAUUCCCAGCCUCUCCCCAUCCCGUCACCCUGCUCUGGCUCGCUGAAGAACCUGUUCCAUAGCUCCUGCCACGAGUGGAAAUUAUGGGCUGUAUUUGGAGCAGUGCUUUUCACCCAUUGCGGAGGGACCGCUUCAUCCGCACAUCUGCAGCCAGCUCCAGGGAGGGAUGUUUGGGACCCCGUGGGACCCUCUGGGGACCUCACGUCACCGUUGUUGGAUAUCUGGCAGCAUCCCUCGCUCCGUCCAUCCCAGCACACAGCAGCAAGCACAAAGUAAAGUUAUCGGUGUGCCACACUAAGCCACUGCUGUCACGAGGCAGGAGCUGAUGUGGAACUUCAGGGUGACCCCAGCAAUGUCCCUGUCCCUGCCUGGCGGGACGCAGUGGGCUGUGAAACGUCUGCCAGCACCAAUGGCCAUAAAAGGUCCUGAAACAGAGAGCCCGGGCGGGAUCAUCCGGGAUGUGGGAAUGGGGCCCGGAGCAGGAUGGGGCGGUGGCACACAGUGUCCCUUCCCUGCUGCCCAUUUGGGAUCUGCAUCACCUCCCACGCGGGGCUCAGGGGGACAAUGCCACCCAUUCAUUGGGGCACCUGGGUGGUGGGAGCGAGGGGCACGCAGCGAGUUCCCCCCGACCCCACAGCCUCACCCCACAGACAAUGGCUGCCCUUUGUUGGGGUUUUCUGUGUCCGGCCCCCACCCUGCCACCCAGCUGGUGACAUUUACCACCUCCACGUUCACAAGGGGACUCAAAGGUCUUAAGAUGUGCUGUGGAAUCAUGAAGCACGGCUGGCCCCCUCUGUGCACUCUAUUUGGGGUCCACUGGUGGGGAAUGAGGGAUGAAGAUGAAAUGGGGACCCUUUCCAGUUUGGUGACAUUUGACCUUUUUGAGAUGGAUCCACUGCUGCCCUGGGGGUACCUCACUGUGACUGCAACAGCACGGAGUGCCAGCCCCUGUGGGGUAUGCCAUGUCUUCCAUCCCACCAGAAAGGUCCCUGCACCCAGCUCCUGCCCCCUCCCAGACCCCCAGGGCAGUUCCCCCAGGAGCCGGGCAAGCAGCCCUGUUCCUCCUGGCCACCUCCAUGGGGUCCUUGGAAACACAAACCCAUAAUAAGCAGGCAGCCUGAGAGCUUAGAGGGAAAUGAAUGCUUUAGGGUAAUUCAUAGGGUGUGUGGGGUCAUGAAAAUGAGCACAGCCGUGCACGGAGGUGGGUGCCUGCAGUACGCCGGGGCGGCUGAUCUGGAGCUGGAGUCCUGCGGGGUGCAGAUGCUGCUCUGCCCUCUGGCUUCAGUGCAGGCUUGGGGACACCCAGGGAAGGUGACACAGGGCACAAAGCCUGGGGGGUGCGAGGACACGGGGUGCACUUUGAAAUGGGAUGCACAUUACGUAGGAUGCAGAGUGCGCAUUACGUGGGAUAGGGGGUGCUCGCGUUAGGGAGGAUGAAGAGUGCAGCCCACCUCCCCCCUCUCCCCCGUGCUGCUCACGUUUCCCCACCCACCCCCUGCAGUUGGCUGACGCGGGCUGACGUCCCUAUAUUAUGCUGAUUUAUGCGAGUUAACCCUUUCCUCGCCGUACGAGGGGGCUCCGUUGCUGGGAGGGGGGGGGAUGGUCCCGGGACCCCGCCCGGGGCUGUCAUUGCCUCCCCACAACCCCCCCCACCCCUCCCCGCGGGUUUCCAUGAGAACAGGACCGGGAUGAUGUCAGCGGUUGCUACGCGACAGCGUGAGGUCACUGUCGCCAUGGCGACUGGAUGGGGGG